UACGGAGGGUGCAAGCGUUAUCCGGAUUCACUGGGUUUAAAGGGUGUGUAGGCGGGCUGUUAAGUCAGUGGUGAAAUCUCCGGGCUCAACCCGGAAACUGCCAUUGAUACUAUCAGUCUUGAAUUCUGUUGAGGUGGGCGGAAUAUGUCAUGUAGCGGUGAAAUGCAUAGAUAUGACAUAGAACACCGAUUGCGAAGGCAGCUUACUAUGGUUUUAUUGACGCUGAGGCACGAAAGCGUGGGGAUCAAACAGG
rnacentral:rRNA from 1 species